AAGUAUUCAACCAUUAUAUUAAUGAAAACUCAUAUUUUUCUUGUUUUAUCUAAAAAUCUCAACAUACAAAAUGCCACAACCCCGUUGAAACCUUAAGGAAAUGUGCUUCUGAACAAUUCGAGUAUCAGACACGUUUGGGUUUGAGUCGAGCUUGACUCCGACCUAUAAGGUCGUCCUUCUCCGUUUCUUUUGUUGUCACUUUUGGUCUCUCGAUGUUGUUCUUGUUGCUAUCUCGUCGGUCUUUUGCCUCUGGUUACUUAGACUCGCCGAUUCUCCUCGCUUCACCACCGUCUCUCACCUUAUAGUGCGAGUCAUUACUGCAGUAUGCAGUCUUCUACAUGUAUUCACUCCGAACUAUGACAGUAUCAGGUGGCUCUCUCCUCCUCUGUGGCAAUAUGAAGAAUUAGUGUUUGAUAUAUCCACUCAGUCGUUGAAUCUUGGUGUUUUUUCAACAUUUUCCUUUAUGGAACUUGUUUUCUUCCUAUACUGAUCUCCACUUGUGUUUAGUGGUGAUGUUGCAGGAAGUAUUGUGUUCGAAGCUUACAGACACUUUGUUGUCUGAUUUUUCGUAAAGGCUUAGCCAAAUGGUCUCUUGUCACCUAUGCUUUAACAGCCGAAUUCAUGAUUGUUUACUCAACACUUAGUGUAGUUCCAAUCUUGGAUUUUAGAGCACUCUACAUGCUAUCUAAAUCCCUUUGCAGCAUUUCAAACCUUUGUAUUAUUGGCGUCGAGGGUAGAUGACUCCUCCACGACUUUAGUUUCUUAGCUAUGGUGUUUGCUCUUAUCCUUUGUGUGUUUGUUAUCCACUUUGUUAUAGCGGUUUGUUUAGCCGGUUUGGCAUUUUCGUCAAUUCUCAUCUACUUUGAACAAUUGCUCCAUGGAUGGAGUUUAAUGAUCUAUAAAAUUUAGGUUUGUCCAAAAAAAAAAAAGAC
rnacentral:lncRNA from 1 species